UGGCUCAGGAUGAACGCUAGCUACAGGCUUAACACAUGCAAGUCGAGGGGCAUCAUUGGGAUAGCUUGCUAUUCAGAUGGCGACCGGCGCACGGGUGAGUAACGCGUAUCCAACCUUCCCCUUAGUAGGGCAUAGCCCGGCGAAAGUCGGAUUAAUACCCUAUGUUGUAUAUUGAGGACAUCUGAUUUAUACCAAAGAUUCAUCGCUAAGGGAUGGGGAUGCGUCCGAUUAGGUAGUCGGCGGGGCAACGGCCCACCGAGCCGUCGAUCGGUAGGGGUUCUGAGAGGAAGGUCCCCCACACUGGUACUGAGACACGGACCAGACUCCUACGGGAGGCAGCAGUGAGGAAUAUUGGUCAAUGGGCGAGAGCCUGAACCAGCCAAGUAGCGUGCCAGGAAGACGGCCCUAUGGGUUGUAAACUGCUUUUAUCAGGGGAUAAAGUGAGGGACGUGUCCCUUAUUGCAGGUACCUGAUGAAUAAGGACCGGCUAAUUCCGUGCCAGCAGCGGC
rnacentral:rRNA from 1 species